GCUUGGGAUGAUGACACCUGUGAGCUUUCGGUGAAAUACGUCCGUGUGGAAAACGACUUCCUCCGUACAAUGGUUCCUACCGCAUUUCUGCACACGAGUGGAGUUUUGCCUUCGACUGCAGCUCACAGAUCACAGAACAGAAGUGAUGCCUUGGCUUCACACAUACACAGAGUGGUGUGAGCAGAUUAGCAGCCAGAAGCCACCCAGCUACUCCUCCAGACUUCAAGCUUGAAAACCCCCAAUUCACAGAGCUGAGACGUAACAGCAAAUUGAGCUCGGGGAAUGUGGCUUUGGUUUUGUUUGCUCUGGCCAGGAGAUGAGCUUGACUGCUCAGUGCUGCUUGCUCGAACCCAGAAGAGCGAGAAAAAAGGAGGAGCGAGCCGAGAGCCAAGCCGGUGUCAGAACCAGGAAAUAUCUGGGCUGGGUUUUGAACAGCGAGAGUGGGAAAAGCUGGGCGACUCCCUGCCGCAAGGCACUGGCACAUUUCUCUGUUCGCUGCUUGUGUGUCUAACUGUGUGUCCGACUGAAUUUUUAACUGUGAGUGUUGUCUUUAUACCUGUCUCUUAAAUGAACCGCUGCUCUCUUCACUUGCCUUAGCGGACAGUCCCGUCUGUCUCCCUGACAUUUGCUUCUUUCGUACCUGGCUGUCGUGUAUCGGCCCAAAUGUACAAUGCCUCAUUUUCAAGAAACGUUAGGUUCAGUUUCUAAAUCAGGAUCUGCAAUUUUACUGUAUAUGUUCAACAGCAGGCGAUAAUGAAGUAUCGCCUCUUGUGUAACGGAGUCGAGCUUUUGCCUGACUCCACGUACGUUGUUUUUUAAGUAAACUUAAAAUGUUAACUUGAGUUAACUUCAAAUAUAUAGAAGGUUAUGCAAAAGGGGUUUGUCGUCUUAUGAUCAGGCUCAAUGGUAUAUGUGUGGUAUGAAUAUGUAUGGCUGAUGUGGAGGUAUUGAUAGAUUUUACAAAGAAAAAGGUUUAAACUGAAGAAAGACAGAUAUUAGGAAUAAAUAAACAUAAGGAACAAUAAUAUGAGACAAAGGACAACUGAGAGAAAAGGACUCCCAUCAUGGUUUUAUCACAAUGUUGAAAAAGCAGUUUCCCCAUCUUCAGUGUGUGUGUGUGUGUGUGUGUGUGUGUGUGUCUGUCUGUCUGUCUGUCUGUCCACAUGUUUGCUCUGUGUAGUCGGGGGACCUCCCAGUGAGUGGACGGUCCACAAGACAGAAUAUGGGCACUAAAAGACUCACACGUAGACAGACAGAGACAGACACACUGACGGUCUUUGUCUAGAGAUUGUAAAUGUUGUAAAACAGAAACACGUCAAUUUGAAUCAAGUCAAUUUCUUAUUUUGCACAACAUCGAAACGUUGAUGAGACAGUUUUUGUAUAGAGCAGGUCCAGACCACACUCUCUGCCUCAGGAUGUUACACCUCCUUCAAAUAAAAGUUCUGGAAGCGUUUGGGGGGAAAAGAUUUUUCUCAGAUCAGUCCAAAUGAAAUCACCUUCCAGAAAUAAGAUCAUCAGACCUGUCAAGUCACGUAUCAUUACUUUAAUGUGCAUAUUUUUUGUUUUUUUAUGCUGCAUUUUAUUCUGACAUACUCUUGUAAUCCCUCCCUUUUAAUAACUUGUUGAUAUCUAGUGUGAUAUUUGUAUUAGAAGUAUUCGCAACUGUAACACUGAAUGUCCGCCACUCCAUCUCCAUCAAUAAUUAAACAAGUAUUUCUUAUUCUGAUGUAACACUAUAGUAGCUCAUAUUAUACCAUAUAUAUGUUAUAUUAUGUUAAUGUAAGCUUUUGUGUUGUGGAUCAAUUGGGUGUAAUAAUGUACACAAGAAGAGGUAUUUCUUUUUGUUUGAAUACAAUCAAAUGAAACACCAAUUCAUUUAGAAUAGAUUGAUUGGUAGGAAAUGAUGUGCUAACAAUGAUUGGGGGGAAAAUGAGUCCAUAUAUAAUAAUCAAUAUGAUUAAAAUGGCACAACACAUUAAUGUCUGUUAGGAUUAGCAUUUAAACUCUAUUACAAAUUGAAAGAUAAAACUGCUCUAUAGUAAAAAGAAAAUCCCAACUCCUCUUUUGUAAUAACAAACUCCCAAAGAGUCUAAAAGCACUGAGAGCAACAAUUCAUGAUGCUUUAGUAAAUCACUUCUCUCUCUUUUUGAAAUGUUUCAUGGGUAAGCAAUGACUCAGCAACGGGUUUAGCUCUUUUUAUAUAUAAACCUGUCCCGUUUUAUGGACAACACACCCAAAAUAUUUGGUCAUGUUUGAUCUCCUUCUAUCUGGUGGCCAACAUGUGGAGUUAAACUUUCCUUCUCUUUCAGCAAAAACAAAGUGUGCAGACACAUGCACGCACACGCGCACACACAAACGUACACACACGCACACACACACACACAAAAAUCUUCUUUUCAACCGAAAUAAAUGUUUAUAGCAUUCCAAACAUUUUGUGUGUCAGACAGUAUGUGUGGUCCUGUCUGCACCUAGCAUGAGGUUUGAGGUUAAGGUGUUUGUCUGCUGGUGUGUGUGCAUGUCCAUGAUGUGUGCGUGUGUAUGUGUGUGUGAGAGAGAGAGAGAGAGUAGAAACAAUGAACUGAGGAACACCCAUGCUUGCUUCCGAGAUGUUUGUGUUUUGAAAAAAAUGGAGAAAGAGAAAUAAGAACAACAAGAAAAAAGAAAGAAAAAAAAAGUCUGGGGGUAAUUUACCGGAUCCAAGCUGUUUGGGAACAUUGUGGCAUGGAGGUUAGCACAGAAACAAAUAUUGAGGGCAAGUUGAAAAUUCAGCAAAGGGGAGAAUGUUGACAGAACUGUUGGAGGUCGCACAAAAUGGUGAGAGGAACACACACUUUCAUACUUCCUAAGAAACAAACAGAUGGUACGUGCUCAAUUCUGAAAGGACUAACACUGGUCAAGGACAUUCAAAAUGUGG